rnacentral:rRNA from 1 species
GCUCAGAACGAACGCUAGCGGCGUGGAUAAGACAUGCAAGUCGUGCGAGGAACUGAAGAGCUUGCUUUGAAGUUCCUAGCGGCGGACGGGUGAGUAACACGUGAGCACCUGCCCUGAAGAGGGGGAUAGCCCGGGUGAAACCCCGGAUUAAUACCCCAUGACAUCUUCGGAUCAAAGGCGGCCUUUGGCUGUCGCUUUGGGAUGGGCUCGCGGCCUAUUAGCUUGUUGGUGGGGUAACGGCCCACCAAGGCGAUGACGGGUAACUGGUCUGAGAGGACGAUCAGUCACACUGGAACUGAGACACGGUCCAGACACCUACGGGUGGCAGCAGUCGAGAAUCAUUCACAAUGGGCGCAAGCCUGAUGGUGUGACGUCGCGUGGAGGAUGAAGAUCCUAGGACUGUAAACUCCUGUUAUCAGAGAGUAAGACAUGUGUAUUAAUAGUGCGCAUGUUUGAUAGUAUCUGAAGAGGAAGGGACGGCUAACUUCGUGCCAGCAGCCGCGGUAAUACGAAGGUCCCAAGCGUUGUUCGGAAUCACUGGGCGUAAAGGGAGCGUAGGCGGUUCGGUAAGUCGGGUGUGAAAGGCGGGGGCUCAACCUCCGGACUGCAUCUGAUACUGCCGUGACUAGAGUAGUGGAGGGGAAACUGGAAUUCUCGGUGUAGCAGUGAAAUGCGUGGAUAUCGAGAGGAAGACUCGUGGCGAAAGCGAGUUUCUGGACACUUACUGACGCUGAGGCUCGAAGGCCGGGGGAGCGAAAGGGAUUAGAUACCCCUGUAGUCCCGGCAGUAAACGGUGCGCGCUUGGUGUGGGAGGAUUCGANCCCUUCCGUGCCGGAGCUAACGCGUUAAGCGCGCCGNCUGGGGAGUACGGUCGCAAGACUAAAACUCAAAGAAAUUGACCGGGAACCGCACAAGCGGUGGAGUAUGUGGAUUAAUUCGAUGCAACGCGAAGAACCUUACCUGGGCUUGACAUGCCGUCAUAGUCUGUGAAAGCAGAUGUCAGUUCGGCUGGACGUGCACAGGUGCUGCAUGGCCGUCGUCAGCUCGUGUCGUGAGAUGUUUGGUUAAGUCCAGCAACGAGCGCAACCCCUGCGUCUAGUUACCAGCACAUAAUGGUGGGGACUUUAGACGGACUGCCCAGAUCAANCUGGGAGGAAGGUGGGGACGACGUCAGGUCAGUAUGGCCCUUAUGCCCAGGGCUGCACACGUACUACAAUGCCCGGUACAAUGAGAACCGAAACCGCGAGGUGGAGGAAAUCUACAAAACCGGGCUCAGUUCGGAUUGGAGGCUGCAACCCGCCUCCAUGAAGUUGGAAUCGCUAGUAAUGGCACAUCAGCAACGGUGCCGUGAUACGUUCCCGGGUCUUGUACACACCGCCCGUCACAUCAUGAAGCCGUCGCACCCGAAGUAUUUCCAAUAAGGAAGUCCUAAGGUGUAGCUGGUAACUGGGAUGAAGU